rnacentral:rRNA from 1 species
GUGCCAGCAGCCGCGGUAAUACCGGCAGCCCGAGUGAUGGCCGAUCUUAUUGGGCCUAAAGCGUCCGUAGCUGGCUGCGCAAGUCCGUCGGGAAAUCCACUCGCCCAACGCGUGGGCGUCCGACGGAAACUGCACAGCUUGGGACCGGAAGGCUCGAAGGGUACGUUCGGGGUAGGAGUGAAAUCCCAUAAUCCCGCACGGACCACCGAUGGCGAAAGCACUUCGAGAAGACGGAUCCGACAGUGAGGGACGAAAGCAAGGGUCGCCAACCGGAGUAGAAACCCCUGUAGUCC